UUCAGCUUAAAUAGUUUUUUUAUUCAUGCAUAAAAUUUCAGCAUAAAACAUCUUGAAUAACAAUAAAAUGUACACCCAUUAUACAUAAUGCUAACAUAUUGAAUGUGUAAAUAGUUAUCAAAGGUACCAGGAUUAUAAUUUAGUAUGACAGACGCUCGUUUCGUCUACACAAGACUCAUCAGUGACGCUAGUUCCAAUAUAAGCAAUCUAUAUAAAAACCAGCUUUUAUGUUCUCAAUACUCCUUUUUUAAGAUUUUAAUGAUUAAAACAAAUUUCAGUUUAAUUUACUCAAUAAACAAUGUAUACUUUUGUCAUUUUUUUUAAAUAUAUGUAUAAAUAUAAAAUAAUAAUAAAAAUGUAUAACUAUUAUAUAGAAUAAAACCUCUAUAAAUGUUUUUCAUGUCUUUCUCACUGUUACUCAUUUUUAAUGUAUAUGACCUUGGAGAGGUCAGAAAAAAAAUACCAAACAUAUUUUUAAACGUCAGAAAAGAAACUGAUUUAUAUAAUAUUGGAUUUUAAAGCCAAAUCAG
rnacentral:lncRNA from 1 species